rnacentral:rRNA from 1 species
UACGUAGGGUGCGAGCGUUGUCCGGAAUUAUUGGGCGUAAAGAGCUCGUAGGCGGUGUGUCGCGUCGGCCGUGAAAACUUGCAGCUUAACUGUGGGCGUGCGGUCGAUACGGGCAUCACUGGAGUUCGGCAGGGGAGACUGGAAUUCCUGGUGUAGCGGUGAAAUGCGCAGAUAUCAGGAGGAACACCGGUGGCGAAGGCGGGUCUCUGGGCCGUAACUGACGCUGAGGAGCGAAAGCAUGGGGAGCGAACAGG